rnacentral:rRNA from 1 species
AUGCAACCCCGUGAGGCCCUACAGCCGGGGGAGAUCUCUUCCUCGUCCGCCGCCUCGUCGUCGCUUUCCAGUCCCGCUCCCGAUCCCAUCCCUCCACGAAAUACUAGUUCCCCAAAGAAGAUGGAACACAGUGAGACCCCAAAUUCGGAGGAGAAGGGCUUCCCCCAACUCUUCAUGAGGCAGUACGACUACGAUUCUGUGAAGGCGUGGAUUAAGAAGAUGGAGGAUGAAAGGGAGGAAAUGGAUGGUAUCAAGGAACUGCCGCCAUUGGAGAUCAUCGAGUUCGAAGAUCUUAUGGCGGAGGCAUGGUCUCCGGACAGGCUACUGCCUUGGACUUGCGGUAUAGUUCAUUUCAGAGACUACAUUGCCUAUCUCAAGAAGUUUUUCAAUAGCAAUGUUGCUCUUCAUUUUGACCUGCAUGCCGCAGCUAAACGGUGUCUCAAAAUGGAGAAGAGCUAUAUGGAGAAUGGCAAUAUUCACCAGGGAAACCUUAUCCUCGAGAUCCAGAAUGUAGCAGAAAAUAUCAUGAAAGAAAGAAAAUCAGAGGGUCAAUUUGCUGUCGCCGCUGCUGGCUUGGUGUGCAUUGCUGCUGAAGCUAAGUUGAUGUCCAAGCUAUCAAAAAACUGA